UGGCGACCGGCGCACGGUGCGGUAACGCGUAUGCAACCGUACCUGUAACAGGGGGAUAACACUGAGAAAUCGGUACUAAUACCGCAUAACACUAUGAGAGGCAUCUCUUGUGGUUGAAAGUUUCGGCGGUUACAGAUGGGCAUGCGUUGUAUUAGCUGGUUGGUAAGGUAACGGCUUACCAAGGCGACGAUACAUAGGGGGGACUGAGAGGUUAACCCCCCCACAUUGGUACUGAAACACGGACCAGACUCCUACGGAAGGCAGCAG
rnacentral:rRNA from 1 species